rnacentral:rRNA from 1 species
UACAGAGGUGGCAAGCGUUGUUCGGAAUUACUGGGCGUAAAGGGCGCGUAGGCGGCCUUCUAAGUCAGACGUGAAAUCCCCCGGCUUAACCUGGGAACUGCGUCUGAUACUGGGAGGCUUGAGUAUGGGAGAGGGAUGUAGAAUUCCAGGUGUAGCGGUGAAAUGCGUAGAUAUCUGGAGGAACACCGGUGGCGAAGGCGGCAUCCUGGACCAACACUGACGCUGAGUGAGCGAAAGCCAGGGGAGCAAACGGG